rnacentral:rRNA from 1 species
ACCGACUAAUGUUGAAAAAUUAGCGGAUGACCUGUGGCUGGGGGUGAAAGGCCAAUCAAACCGGGAGAUAGCUGGUUCUCCCCGAAAGCUAUUUAGGUAGCGCCUCGUGAACUCAUCUCCGGGGGUAGAGCACUGUUUCGGCUAGGGGGCCAUCCCGGCUUACCAACCCGAUGCAAACUGCGAAUACCGGAGAAUGUUAUCACGGGAGACACACGGCGGGUGC